rnacentral:misc_RNA from 1 species
AAUGAGUAGUGGGUAGCGAGGCCACAAGCAAUCAUUUCCACACCAUUAAGCUUAUCUCCUGUUAGGGCUAAGUAUUCCCCCAUGUAACCAGGUAGGUGAGAAAGAUAAUAAGAAGCGCCUGCAUCAGGAUGGAAACCCAUUUGAGUCUCAGGUUGAGCAAAGAUAGUUUUGUCAGUUACAACAGAAAACAUUCCUGGAAGUGAAAUUCCAGCCCCACAUCCCAUUGUGAUGCCAUCCAAGAUAGCCACAUGUGGCUUCAAAUAUGUUCCUUGUAGGUAGGCAAACUUAUAUAAUGUCUGAAAAAAGCUUUUGCACUCUUCAACUCUCCCUGCAUUAACUAGUUCACUGAGCCAAAUCAUAUCUCC